UACGUAGGGGGCAAGCGUUGUCCGGAUUUAUUGGGCGUAAAGAGCGUGUAGGCGGUUAGGUAGGUCCGUUGUGAAAACUCGAGGCUCAACCUCGAGACGCCGAUGGAAACCAUCUGACUAGAGUCCGGAAGAGGAGAGUGGAAUUCCUGGUGUAGCGGUGAAAUGCGCAGAUAUCAGGAAGAACACCCGUGGCUAAGGCGGCUCUCUAGUACGGUACUGACGCUGAGACGCGAAAGCGUGGGAGCGAACAGG
rnacentral:rRNA from 1 species